GUGUACUUAGCUCAAUGGUACUUAGAGGAUCACUCAUGAAUUCUGAGGUUGUGGGUUUGAGUCCCACAGUACACA
rnacentral:tRNA from 1 species